UACGGAGGGUGCAAGCGUUAUCCGGAUUCACUGGGUUUAAAGGGUGCGUAGGCGGGUUGGUAAGUCCGUGGUGAAAUCUCCAAGCUUAACUUGGAAACUGCCGUGGAUACUAUCAAUCUUGAAUAUCGUGGAGGUAAGCGGAAUAUGUCAUGUAGCUGGUGAAAUGCUUAGAUAUGACAUAGAACACCAAUUGCGUAGGCAGCUUACUACACGAUCAUUGACGCUGAGGCACGAAAGCGUGGGGAGCAAACAGG
rnacentral:rRNA from 1 species